rnacentral:rRNA from 1 species
UACGUAGGGACCAAGCGUUGUUCGGAUUUACUGGGCGUAAAGGGCGCGUAGGCGGCAUGGCAAGUCACUUGUGAAAUCUCCGGGCUUAACUCGGAACGGCCAAGUGAAACUGCCACGCUAGAGUGCAGAAGGGGCAAUCGGAAUUCUUGGUGUAGCGGUGAAAUGCGUAGAUAUCAAGAGGAACACCUGAGGUGAAGACGGGUUGCUGGGCUGACACUGACGCUGAGGCGCGAAAGCCAGGGAGCAAACGGG